AGGAGACUCUCUACCAGUCUACUGUUGAUGGUAAGAAGAUAGUUGACAUUCUAGUUGAGCAGAAAAUUGUCCCUGGCAUCAAAGUUGACAAGGUAAGACAAUGGACUUCAUUUAUAUCGAGAUUGCAAACAUACAUGGAAGAAUUUGUUAACUAACUUGUGUGAUUAAAUUAAACAGGGUCUGGUACCCCUAGCAGGUUCGAACGACGAGUCAUGGUGUCAGGGUCUUGAUGGCCUUGCUUCACGCUGUGCCGCUUACUACCAGCAGGGAGCCCGCUUUGCCAAAUGGUACCAACAUUUCAAAGCAUAACUCGAUAAAACAUAUAUGUCAUUGUAUUUUCUUGUGUUAGUAACUUGACUUCGAUUAAAUAGGCGU
rnacentral:lncRNA from 1 species